UACGAAGGGGGCUAGCGUUGCUCGGAAUCACUGGGCGUAAAGGGCGCGUAGGCGGCGUUUUAAGUCGGGGGUGAAAGCCUGUGGCUCAACCACAGAAUGGCCUUCGAUACUGGGACGCUUGAGUAUGGUAGAGGUUGGUGGAACUGCGAGUGUAGAGGUGAAAUUCGUAAAUAUUCGCAAGAACACCGGUGGCGAAGGCGGCCAACUGGACCAUUACUGACGCUGAGGCGCGAAAGCGUGGGGAGCAAACAGG
rnacentral:rRNA from 1 species